rnacentral:rRNA from 1 species
AGCAGUAGCCGCGGGAAUACGUAGGUCCCGAGCGUUGUCCGGAUUUAUUGGGCGUAAAGCGAGCGCAGGCGGUUAGAUAAGUCUGAAGUUAAAGGCUGUGGCUUAACCAUAGUACGCUUUGGAAACUGUUUAACUUGAGUGCAGAAGGGGAGAGUGGAAUUCCAUGUGUAGCGGUGAAAUGCGUAGAUAUAUGGAGGAACACAGGUGGCGAAAGCGGCUCUCUGGUCUGUAACUGACGCUGAGGCUCGAAAGCGUGGGGAGCAAACAGGAUUAGAUACCCCCGUAGUCCCUGUCUCUUAUACA